AAAAGGUGGCUAUGCUACCGCUUUUGGAUGGGCCCGCGGCGCAUUAGCUAGUUGGUGGGGUAAAGGCUUACCAAGGCAAUGAUGCGUAGCCGAACUGAGAGGUUGAUCGGCCACAUUGGGACUGAGACACGGCCCAAACUCCUACGGGAGGCAGCAGUAGGGAAUCUUCCACAAUGGGCGAAAGCCUGAUGGAGCAACGCCGCGUGGGUGAAGAAGGUCUUCGGAUCGUAAAGCCCUGUUGUUAGAGAAGAAAGUGCGUGAGAGUAACUGUUCACGUUUCGACGGUAUCUAACCAGAAAGCCACGGCUAACUACGUGCCAGCAGCCGCGGUAAUACGUAGGUGGCAAGCGUUAUCCGGAUUUAUUGGGCGUAAAGGGAACGCAGGCGGUCUUUUAAGUCUGAUGUGAAAGCCUUCGGCUUAACCGGAGUAGUGCAUUGGAAACUGGGAGACUUGAGUGCAGAAGAGGAGAGUGGAACUCCAUGUGUAGCGGUGAAAUGCGUAGAUAUAUGGAAGAACACCAGUGGCGAAAGCGGCUCUCUGGUCUGUAACUGACGCUGAGGUUCGAAAGCGUGGGUAGCAAACAGGAUUAGAUACCCUGGUAGUCCACGCCGUAAACGAUGAAUGCUAAGUGUUGGAGGGUUUCCGCCCUUCA
rnacentral:rRNA from 1 species